UUAUGGAAGGGUGGUAUUUAUUAGACUGAAGCCAAUAUUCCUUGUGUCUAUUGCGGUGAUUCAUAAUAACUGAUCGAAUCUCUUUUUGAGAUAAAUCAUUCAAGUUUCUGCCCUAUCAGCUUUCGAUGGUAGUGUAUUGGACUACCAUGGCAGUAACGGGUAACGAAGAAUUAGGGUUCGAUUUCGGAGAGGGAGCAUGAGAAACGGCUACCACAUCUAAGGAAGGCAGCAGGCGCGUAAAUUACCCAAUCCUGACUCAGGGAGGUAGUGACAAGAAAUAGCAAACCGGGAACCUCAUGGUUUCACGGUAUUGCAAUGAGAACAAUUUAAAACCCUUAGCGAGAAUCAAGUGGAGGACAAGUCUGGUGCCAGCACCCGCGGUAAUUCCAGCUCCACUAGCGUAUAUUAAAGUUGUUGCAGUUAAAAAGCUCGUAGUUGAACCUCUGUCUGGGGCUAGUUUUGGCUUUGGUCAGGCUAGUUCUAGGCAUCCGCCUACAAGACUUAGAGGGCAUUCAGUUGUUCACUAGGAGGAGUAGGCAUUUUACUUUGAAAAAAUUAGAGUGUUUAAGGCAGGCAAUCGCCCGCAUAUAUUAGCAUGGAAUAAUAGAAUAGGACACUUUUCCAUUUCGUUGGUUAUUGGAAUCGUGUAAUGAUUAAUAGGGACAGUUGUGGGCAUUUGUAUUUAAUUGUCAGAGGUGAAAUUCUUGGAUUUAUUAAAGACAAACUAACGCGAAAGCAUUUGCCAAGGAUGUUUUCAUUAAUCAAGAACGAAAGUUAGGGGAUCAAAGACGAUCAGAUACCGUCCUAGUCUUAACUAUAAACUAUUCCGACUCAAUGUUUGACUGGCUUAUAUAACCAGUUGAGCGUUGUAUGAGAAAUCAAAGUCUUUAGGUUCUGGGGGGAGUAUGGUUGCAAAGCUGAAACUUAAAGGAAUUGACGGAAGAGCACAACCAGGAGUGGAUUCUGCGGCUUAAUUUGACUCAACACGGGGAAACUUACCAGGUUAAAACAAUAGUGGGAUUGACAGUUUGAGAGCGCUUUCUUGAUUGGUUGGGUGGUGGUGCAUGGCCGUUCUUAGUUGGUGGAGUGAUUUGUCUGCUUAAUUGCGUUAACGAACGAGACCUUAACCUGCUUACUAGACUGGCGAUCAUCAAUCGUUAGCUCUUCUUAGAGGGACUUUGGUUGUUAUGACUCCAAGGAAGUUUGAGGCAAUAACAGGUCUGUGAUGCCCUUAGAUAUCCUGGGCCCCACC
rnacentral:rRNA from 1 species